rnacentral:tRNA from 1 species
GCCCUGGUGGCUCAGUGGUUAAGCACUCAGCUGCUAACUGAAAGGUCAGUGGUUCAAAUCCACCAACUGCU